rnacentral:rRNA from 1 species
UACGAAGGGGGCUAGCGUUGCUCGGAAUGACUGGGCGUAAAGGGCGCGUAGGCGGAUGGCACAGUCAGAUGUGAAAUUCCCGGGCUUAACCUGGGGGCUGCAUUUGAUACGUGUUGUCUAGAGUGAGGAAGAGGGUCGUGGAAUUCCCAGUGUAGAGGUGAAAUUCGUAGAUAUUCGGAAGAACACCAGUGGCGAAGGCGGACUCACUGGACUGGUAUUGACGCUGAGGUGCGAAAGCGUGGGGAGCAAACAGGGAUUAAGAAACCCUUGUAACGUUCCAGAACCA